rnacentral:rRNA from 1 species
UAUUGGACAAUGGGCGCAAGCCUGAUCCAGCCAUACCGCGUGGGUGAAGAAGGCCUUCGGGUUGUAAAGCCCUUUUGUUGGGAAAGAAAUCCAGCUGGCUAAUACCCGGUUGGGAUGACUGUACCCAAAGAAUAAGCACCGGCUAACUUCGUGCCAGCAGCCGCGGUAAUACGAAGGGUGCAAGCGUUACUCGGAAUUACUGGGCGUAAAGCGUGCGUAGGUGGUUAUUUAAGUCCGUUGUGAAAGCCCUGGGCUCAACCUGGGAACUGCAGUGGAUACUGGAUGACUAGAAUGUGGUAGAGGGUAGCGGAAUUCCUGGUGUAGCAGUGAAAUGCGUAGAGAUCAGGAGGAACAUCCAUGGCGAAGGCAGCUACCUGGACCAACAUUGACACUGAGGCACGAAAGCGUGG